rnacentral:rRNA from 1 species
UACGUAGGGGGCAAGCGUUGUCCGGAAUCAUUGGGCGUAAAGCGCGUGUAGGCGGCCCGGUAAGUCCGCUGUGAAAGUCCAGGGCUCAACCCUGGAAUUGCCUUCGAUACUGUUUGGCUCGAGACCGGAAGAGGUAAGUGGAACUGCGAGUGUAGAGGUGAAAUCCGUAGAUAUUCGCAAGAACACCAGUGGCGAAGGCGGCUCACUGGCCCGGUACUGACGCUGAGGUGCGAAAGCGUGGGGAGCAAAAAGG